UAUUGUGAUACAAUUCGCUUAGACUUUUGAGUGCAUUUUACUAUAUUGACUGGUGAAUCGCACAGGUCGGAAGACACACCAAAUGAAUGUUAUUAAUCCAGAAAAAAACAUGAAGACAAUCUUACUGCUUAUUUUUACACUCAUUUCUUCCGUAACAUGUCGAUAUGAAAAAUUCGAGGAAAUGGUAGAAAAUAUUUGUGAAUAAAGAGACAGCAACUCGAUAAAGUGAAAGGUCAAGUAACGAUAUU